rnacentral:rRNA from 1 species
AUCUUCCACAAUGGGCGCAAGCCUGAUGGAGCAACACCGCGUGAGUGAAGAAGGGUUUCGGCUCGUAAAGCUCUGUUGUUGGAGAAGAACGUGCGUGAGAGUAACUGUUCACGCAGUGACGGUACCCAAGGAGGAAGCCACGGCUAACUAAGUGCCAGCAGCCGCGGUAAUACGUAGGUGGCAAGCGUUAUCCGGAUUUAUUGGGCGUAAAGCGAGCGCAGGCGGUUGCUUAGGUCUGAUGUGAAAGCCUUCGGCUUAACCGAAGAAGUGCAUCGGAAACCGGGCGACUUAAGUGCAGAAGAGGACAGUGGAACUCCAUGUGUAGCGGUGGAAUGCGUAGAUAUAUGGAAGAACACCAGUGGCGAAGGCGGCUGUCUGGUCUGCAACUGACGCUGAGGCUCGAAAGCAUGGGUAGCGA